rnacentral:rRNA from 1 species
GACGAACGCUGGCGGCGUGCUUAACACAUGCAAGUCGAACGGAAAGGCCCUGCUUUUGUGGGGUGCUCGAGUGGCAAACGGGUGAGUAACACGUGAGUAACCUGCCCUUGACUUUGGGAUAACUUCAGGAAACUGGGGCUAAUACCGGAUAGGAGCUCCUGCUGCAUGGUGGGGGUUGGAACGUUUCGGCGGUUGGGGAUGGACUCGCGGCUUAUCAGCUUGUUGGUGGGGUAGUGGCUUACCAAGGCUUUGACGGGUAGCCGGCCUGAGAGGGUGACCGGCCACAUUGGGACUGAGAUACGGACCAGACUCCUACGGGAGGCAGCAGUGGGGAAUAUUGCACAAUGGGCGGAAGCGUGAUGCAGCAACGCCGCGUGCGGGAUGACGGCCUUCGGGUUGUAAACCGCUUUCGCCUGUGACGAAGCGUGAGUGACGGUAAUGGGUAAAGAAGCACCGGCUAACUACGUG